rnacentral:rRNA from 1 species
ACACCCGUUUUCCAUUCCGAACACGAAGGUUAAGCCUAUUGAGGCCGAUGGUACUGCACGGGAGACUGUGUGGGAGAGUAGGUGGUUGCCAGGU